GCCGGGCAUGGUGGUGUGUGCCUGUAAUCCCAGCUGCUCGGGAGGCUGAGGCAGGAGAAUCACUUGAACCCAGGAGGCGGAGGUUGCAGUGAGCCAAGAUCUCACCAUUGCACUCCAGCCUGGGUGACAGAGUGAGAUUCUGUCUCAA
rnacentral:SRP_RNA from 1 species